CACUCUCUAGUCCCGCUGUCUGUAAACCAACCAGCCGGUUGUGCGCGCUCGCUCACCAGCAAGUUGAGCGUGUGCACGAGCAAAGGUGCCGCGGGGGUGGACUUUUUAGAAGGCGUAACUGGUGUUCGAAUUUUUCAGGCGUCAAGUUCUUCUGCCUCCUCAGAAGUUUUCGGGUGUUUUUGUAGUUUCAUUAUUCCGUUACGAAGCAAGCUUCUCUUCUUUUUGGUACACUGCGCUGCUCUCUGUUUCCGGAAGCGGAGGGUAGACGUAGGACUAUUUAGAAGCGUAACUAAAGUACUCUAUCGGUGGAGGUAUUUAAGGUGCUCUGGAUAUCCGAAAGAUGCUCAGUUUGGCGCCUUCUAUUUCUGAUUCUUAUACUGCUUACUAAUAUGUAAACUGUUCAUGUAAAUUCAUAUUUUUGUAAGUGGAAAUAAAUGUCCAUCACAGAUAUGCAUGUAAUUCCUUUUCAGUUGAAAUUGUAUUUAAUAAUCAUUUAAAAUCUGGAAUUUAUAUUAAAAUUUCAUGAACGAGGCUAGUAUUAUAUUGUUUUAAGUUAUAGUUAUCGUAGAUUACGUCAUUUCAUGCAGAAUAAUUUGUCAAGAGGUCGGGAGGAUAGGAAACGUCGAUUCCGCAUGAUUCUGCGCCAUGACAAAAGGAAGACAGACUCACUGGUUCCUGCAACCGGUCUUCCGGAAAAACAUCGUUUACCGGCAUGACGUCGUCGAAGAGACUUCGAUUACCAAUUACGCACGUGCGCUUUGAGUAUUUGCAGCUGGGGGAAUAAAAAAUGGGAACGCGGUCAUACAUCGAGUCCGAUCCGGAUGAAUGUAAUCGCGCCAGUAUAAGUCGACAAUGAGCGCAGUUAGCGUACACGGUGUAUCAGGUACAUAAGCGGAAACGAAGACAGAGUCGAAGACAAACGGCGAAUAGCGAGAAAGAGAGAAGAAAAGGAGAAAGACGCGUAACGGCGGCGUCGUCGGCGUUACAUUAUAUAAUGACACAGAACGGAUUAAUCCUAGCGGCGGCGUCGCGGCGGCAACUCGGCCAGCAUAAUAGAUAUGCUCUUUCUUUGUUUCGUCCGCUCAUAAUGGCCGCGCCUCGCAAGAAAACGCGGAACACGGAGCAUUAUGCACUCCGCCGAGACGAACGAGAAUAAACCGAGUCUGAAUAGCUUUCUGAGUUUGUUUCCUUUCCUAUUCCCCCACCGUUCCUUUCUUUCUUUUCUCUCCUUUCUCCGCGUUCUUUCUUUUCUUUUCUCCUCUGUUCCGCACUCCACCUUUCUUCUUCCACCCACCCCCUUUCACUAUCCCCCAUUUUAUGGAAGAUGCACAGCAGCUUGAUUUCGUAUCUGUGAUCUUUGUUUGGUCUGACCGAUAAGUUUUUGAAAUUGAGGUAGACCGAUCUUUCGUUUGUCUGAUGUUGUGCCUGAGUAAUUGCGGAGAUAUUCGAUGCUAUUGGCUUGAUUUGGCAUGUUUGAUCUACUUAUAUCUGUCAUGCAAUAGGUAGAAAACUUGCAGACAGAUUCCAAACACGAUACAAAUCAGUGAAUCUUUUGGAUACAUUGGUAGAAUUUUCGUACCAUUUUUAUUUCGUAAUUGUAUGAUAAAUACUUGUAUCAUCAAUGUAAAUAUUAGAUAUACGAGUAUUUAAAGAAAGUAUUCUUUGUGUCCGUAGUUUCUUAAAAAGUUUUUUGGUCUCUGUGCCCAUGGAAAAUAUAUAAGGUAGAACUACUAACAAGAGAAUGUAACGAAAUUCCUUAUCGGUAGAUUCACCUGUGCCGAAUAUUCGUAAAAUGGAUGCACAUCAGGACAUCGAGGGAUAAAUUGUACAACGGUAACUUUUUAAAGACGAGAAUGCGCUAGAAAGAAUAUAAAGCAAAUAAAUAAAGGAUCGAAGUGGUCCCACUCUGAACAUUCUGUUGCUUAGCACGCGUGCUUUCAUAUGGAUCUACGGUUCAAAGAAGAUUCUUCUUAACGACCGUAUCAAUUCGCAUUUUCUCCCAUUCACGCAGCUCCUAAUCCUCGGCACAGCGCCGUGCACAGCGUCCCGGGUCCUGCUACAGGACUUUUAUGCCUAGCCCCAUCGCGAGCUAUAUCUACGACGACCGACAUAAAUCGUCGCGCGCGUCGACUUACUUCCAAACGACCCUUGCGGCUCUGGAAUCACUGGCGAAAUGUGUCGCGUUCUUUUUAGGAAUGAUAUCAAAUAGAAAAAAUAGUUUUGAUAGUGUAGUUAAAAUAAGUGGCGGGAGGUUUCAUGUGAUUUGUAGAAAUUUGUAAAAAAUAAAAAUUAAUGGAAGGAGAAGUGGAAAUUUGAAUAUUGUAAUUAUAUGCGAAAGACUAAUGGAAUGAAUUGUGAAGUGUUUUUAUUUGGUGUAAUUCUGCUUUUGGAUUUGCUAUAUACCCUUUAUGCCAGAUCGAUUUUCAAUAUUUUUAUAUUAAAAAAUACUUAAAGGACUGCGAUAAUUAAGGAAAUAUAUCAGGGAACACUCUUAAUUGAACAGUGAACAUGUAGCUAGUGAAUUCUUGUAAUUAGUAUCGUAAUAAUCAUGCAAGAUACGUUCGUAUCGAGUUAGUAUACAAUAUACAAGCCUGUCAAAAAAUUCACGGAAGAUGGAUGGUUCUAUAUAUAAUAAAGUGUUUAAUAAACACAAUGAAAAAUAAUUAAUAAUAAUGAACAAAUAUAUGAGACUGCCAGAAAGAUACAAUAGGUGGUUCGACCAGAAGAGGAGAAUUUUUAAUAUCAUAGUAAACUAAUUGAGAGAUGUGAAACAAAAGGAAAAGUCAAUCGUAAUAGUGAGGCAAUUUGCAACGCUGUUAUUGUAAAAUUAUUGUAAUUAACAAUAUCAUUUCGUUUAAAAUAUUUUUAAUAAACUUCAAACAAACUAAUUUAGCUAUAAACAAAAGAAUAAAUUGCA